CCAGCUGAGGAAGGGCUGGAGGAAACAGAAUGCAGGGAGUCAAAAGGUGCCUGCAGGGUGUUGAGUGAGCACCCAGGGAACAGAUUGGGAGACCUAGAAGGGAAGGAAAGAGGUGAGGAAGGAAAUGGCCCAGGGAAAAUUGUAACAUGGGUAGAGGAUUUGAUUGAGCUGUGCAGUACAGAGCCCUGGGCUGUAACCUGAAAGUGAGGUUGGGACUGGAUUCCCCUACCAGCCCCAAGGAAGCGGUGUACAAAGGUAGCUGAGCCCAGAAAGGGGGCUGCAGUCUGAAUGUGACCUCGCUGAAGAAGGAGCUGUGGAGAGGCUGGAAGCUUUUUAUUUCUGUUAAAAUAGUUUUGAAUUUGAGUGUGGAUCGCUGACCCUGGAAGGAACAGGCUAAAGACUGUGCCUUGGCUGGAGGGGUGAGUUAUCUGCAAGAAACCACCCCAGCCCCAGAGUGACUGUUGACAAGGACACUGUGAUGCUCUGCCUGGCCAUGAGGAAGUGCAUAGUGGUCCUUUGGAAGAAAUGUCAUACAAAAUGAAAUCCAAGAUUGCCUACCUGGAACUUCUUUUUUGGAUGGGAUAAGUACUGCUGAUUCCAGGGACAAGAAUUGAAUGGGCCAUGAAGAAAAAUACCAUUUCACCUCUAUUGGCACUCCUUCCAUUGCAGAAUGAAAGAUCAUCCCACAUUACUCCUACUCAGAUGCAGUGUGUGACAUCUGUUUGGACUUCUAAGGAAGACACUCAUAUCCUCAUGGAUCAGACAAACUAAGCACCAGAGAUAAUGGUGGGGUAGGGAAGCCAGAGUCAAGCGGAGAAUAGCUGGACAUCAUGAUGAAAGUCAGAGAAAACCCAUCAAACCGAGGGCUCCCUGUUCUAAAGGAUAUGUUAAGACACCCCCUUGGCUAUUAGCAUUUGAGUGGGAGAACUAUCAUGGACUCUAAGGGCAUUGGAAAUGGUUAUAAAACAACAAGAAAAUAAAGAUUUACGCAGUACUGUAUAUAUUUGCCAGAAGUGAUUUGAACACCAGUAUAAUUCCUCCUAGCCCACUCCUACCCUGACACCUACGCAUUUUCAAAAAUGUGUUAAAUCAGAAAUGCCCCCCCGGUGUUCAAAUUCUGCCUUAAUUUCACCACACUUCUCCCUUCUCUGUAUUCUCCCUUCUCUGUAUUCCAUGGAGACCCCUCCUGCAACAACAGUAUUGCGGUGUUGUACAGUAGUGGCCCAAAACACUAGUGUAAAGUGUGGUGAUUUGGUUCAUUAGCAUUGAAUGCAGCAGUAUUUUAAAAUCACUCUCUCUUGGGUGAUAUAUGAAAGGGAAACAGUAAGUGGGAAAAGGCCUUAUGGCCAUCUUAUGUUAUGAUACUUUUAUAUCACAUGCAAUGCAAGGUUGAGGACUAUCUAGUUUUGCAGGAUUGGGUGCUGGUGAUUCAACAGGAAGCAUUGAUUCCUUUGAGUAAGUAUUAAACCAAUGGCCAGAACAGCAUCAAGGGCCCUGCUGGAGGAACUGUCUUUAUAGAUGAGAUGUAAAACUGCUAUCCUAUAAUCCCAUUUCUGCAAGAGUAGGAGUGUUUAAUCCUGGUACCCUGGUCAAAUUCCAGAUCAAGCAAUUACUAUCUGCUUCGCUGAAUCCCCCUGUAACUUCACAUGGUUAUCUCCUGCACUUCCUGCUUUAUUCUGUCAUGUAGAGUUCCUGUUCAGUGUUAAACACCUUGCUUGUUCUACCCCAGAGAUGGCUGAAUUUCAGAGGUGGGUGCAAUGUGUGUAUAGUCUAUAUAUUUUUGUAAAGUGGUUUGGGAGUCUUCAGGAUGAAAGGUGCUACAGAAAUAUAACAGAUGGUUAUAUGAUGCACGUAUAGUAGUUAGAACUGAAUCAUCAGGGUGUUUAGUGAGCAUUUCAGGAGAUAAUUAGAGGGUCCCAAAGUGAAGCUGAGCAGAUCUCAAUGAGAUACUCUGUCAGGCCAUUCCAAGGGCCUUUUCAGCAGCAUGGAAUUAAACUGCAAAGCCAUUUUUAUAAAGAAAAUAGUUAUUAUGUGAAGUAAGGUAUUUAGUUGACAGGUUUUUUUUUAAUUAUUUAACCCUUUCCUCUCCAAUUCCUAAGAAGGUUAAAUGCAUUUUCAGGAGGCAUCUUAUAUUGACCCCUUUAAUUGAUAGGAGAGCCGUAAUUCUACAGCGCCUCACAGAAACUGGAAAUCUCUCCAGACCUGUAGCUGAGUAUCUGUAUUUAAUGGAAAGUGCUUCAGAUUUAUGCCACUCCUAAAAUUCUCUUUGUUACAGUGCCCUGAGUUUGGGCUGUGGAUUCGGAGGCCUUAGCAAUCCUAGAAAAGUUUGCUGGUAUAGCUAUAUCAGUAUAGCUGUAUUGGCAAACCCACAUAGUAUAGAUACCAUUUAUACCAGCAUAUGCUUCUGCCAGCAUAGUUUAUACCAGUUGCCCAAGAGACAUAAGCUAUACUGCCAAAAGGACUUUUAUGCUGGUAUAAGGGCAUCUACACUAUCCUGGCAUAGCUUUAUUGUUAAAAAAAAAUCACACUCCUAACCAUUAUGGCUACACUGGUAUAAGUCUUAUCUGUUGACUAGGUCCUAAUAUGUUUCUAACAUGGUUGCUAGCUGCAAUCCUCAUCUGAAAUCUUCUUCUGAACAUGUCAGGUGUAUUGUAAAAGUCCAAGUAGAUCAGUAUUCUGCCCACUAAAGUUUUUGAAAAUUAAACAAAUAUUUGCUAUUUAAAUGCCUGUAGCCAGAAGGCAUAAAUCAUCACAUCAUGGAGUCUGUCUAUCUAAGUCAGUGGGUCUCAAACUUUUUUACUGGUGCCCCCUUUUCACAUUGCAAGCCUCUGAGUGUGACCCCCCCUAAUAAACACCCUUUUAAAUAGAUUUAACACCAUUAUAAAUGCUGGAGGCAAGCAGGGUUUGGGAUGGAGGUUGACAGCUCGCGACCCCCCAUAUAAUGACCUUGCAACUCCCUGAGGGGUUCUGACCCCCUGUUUGAGAACCCCUGAUCUAGGUACUAUAUGGGCCCCGUCAGUGAGGCGUCUGACCACCUGUCCUGACACCAGAAGAGUUCAGGUACUAAGUCUGAGCUCCAAAAUACCUACUGCCCCAGGCCCGUACCCUUAGACCCAGCCCUAAGUGUGUAGCCCUAUGACACAGCAAUGACUUGCUCCCU